rnacentral:rRNA from 1 species
GAACGUUACCAAACUGUUGCCUCGGCGGGAUCUCUGCCCCGGGUGCGUCGCAGCCCCGGACCAAGGCGCCCGCCGGAGGACCAACCUAAAACUCUUUUUGUAUACCCCCUCGCGGGUUUUUUAUAAUCUGAGCCUUCUCGGCGCCUCUCGUAGGCGUUUCGAAAAUGAAUCAAAACUUUCAACAACGGAUCUCUUGGUUCUGGCAUCGAUGAAGAACGCAGCGAAAUGCGAUAAGUAAUGUGAAUUGCAGAAUUCAGUGAAUCAUCGAAUCUUUGAACGCACAUUGCGCCCGCCAGUAUUCUGGCGGGCAUGCCUGUCCGAGCGUCAUUUCAACCCUCGAACCCCUCCGGGGGGUCGGCGUUGGGGAUCGGCCCUCCCUUAGCGGGUGGCCGUCUCCGAAAUACAGUGGCGGUCUCGCCGCAGCCUCUCCUGCGCAGUAGUUUGCACACUCGCAUCGGGAGCGCGGCGCGU